AUUGAACGCUGGCGGCAUGCUUUACACAUGCAAGUCGAACGGUAACAGGCCGCAAGGUGCUGACGAGUGGCGAACGGGUGAGUAAUGCAUCGGAACGUGCCCAGUCGUGGGGGAUAACGCAGCGAAAGCUGUGCUAAUACCGCAUACGAUCUAUGGAUGAAAGCGGGGGACCGUAAGGCCUCGCGCGAUUGGAGCGGCCGAUGUCAGAUUAGGUAGUUGGUGGGGUAAAGGCUCACCAAGCCAACGAUCUGUAGCUGGUCUGAGAGGACGACCAGCCACAAUGGGACUGAGAAACGGCCCAGACUCCUACGGGAGGCAGCAGUGGGGAAUUUUGGACAAUGGGCGCAAGCCUGAUCCAGCAAUGCCGCGUGCAGGAAGAAGGCCCUCGGGUUGUAAACUGCUUUUGUACGGAACGAAAAGGUUUGGGUUAAUACCCUGGGCCGAUGACGGUACCGUAAGAAUAAGCACCGGCUAACUACGUGCCAGCCGCCGCAGUAA
rnacentral:rRNA from 1 species